rnacentral:rRNA from 1 species
AAUUCGAAGCAACGCGAAGAACCUUACCAGGUCUUGACAUCCCCUGACAACCCGAGAGAUCGGGCGUUCCCCCUUCGGGGGACAGGGUGACAGGUGGUGCAUGGUUGUCGUCAGCUCGUGUCGUGAGAUGUUGGGUUAAGUCCCGCAACGAGCGCAACCCUCGACCUUAGUUGCCAGCAUUCAGUUGGGCACUCUAAGGUGACUGCCGGCUAAAAGUCGGAGGAAGGUGGGGAUGACGUCAAAUCAUCAUGCCCCUUAUGACCUGGGCUACACACGUGCUACAAUGGGCGGUACAAAGGGUCGCGAACCCGCGAGGGGGAGCCAAUCCCAAAAAGCCGCUCUCAGUUCGGAUUGCAGGCUGCAACUCGCCUGCAUGAAGCCGGAAUCGCUAGUAAUCGCGGAUCAGCAUGCCGCGGUGAAUGCGUUCCCGGGCCUU